GAGUUUCCGGGGAGGAUAGAAUGCUAGUUGAGCGCUUCCAGCCAACACGGGAGCGCAGCGCACAGCUCAGUAACACGUGGCUAAUCUGCCCUUGGGACCGGAACACCCCCGGGAAACUGGGGCUAAUUCUCGAUAGGUGAAGAACUCUGGAAUGAGUCUUUGCCAAAAAGACGUUUGCGUUAUGCUCGUAGGCGUCGCCCAAGGAUGAGGCCGCGACCGAUCAGGUUGUUGGUGAGGUAAUGGCUCACCAAGCCUUUUACCGGUGCGGGCCGUGAGAGCGGGAGCCCGGAGAUGGGCACUGAGACAAGGGCCCAGGCCCUACGGGGCGCAGCAGUCGCGAAAACUUUGCAAUACACGAAAGUGUGACAGGGCUAUCCCGAGUGCCAUCCGCUGAGGAAGGCUUUUACCCAGUCUAGAACGCUGGGGGAAUAAGGAGAGGGCAAGUCUGGUGUCAGCCGCCGCGGUAAUACCAGCUCUCCGAGUGGUGUGGAUGUUUAUUGGGCCUAAAGCAUCCGUAGCUGGCUAAGUUAGUCCCUUGUUAAAUCCACCGAAUUAAUCGUUGGAUUGCGGGGGAUACUGCUUGGCUAGGGGACGAGAGAGGCAGACGGUAUUUCCGGGGUAGGGGUGAAAUCCUAUAAUCCCGAGAAGACCACCAGUGGCGAAGGCUGUCUGCUAGAACGCGCCCGACGGUGAGGGAUGAAAGCUGGGGGAGCGAACCGGAUUAGAUACCCGGGUAGUCCCAGCUGUAAACGAUGCAGGCUAGGUGUUUGGACGGCCACGUGCCGUUCUAGUGCCGCAGGGAAGCUGUUAAGCCUGCCGCCUGGGGAGUACGAUCGCAAGAUUGAAACUUAAAGGAAUUGGCGGGGGAGCACCACAAGGGGUGAAGCUUGCGGUUUAAUUGGAUUCAACGCCGGG
rnacentral:rRNA from 1 species